GAUGAACGCUGGCGGCGUGCCUAAUACAUGCAAGUCGAGCGAACAGACGAGGAGCUUGCUCCUCUGACGUUAGCGGCGGACGGGUGAGUAACACGUGGAUAACCUACCUAUAAGACUGGGAUAACUUUGGGAAACCGGAGCUAAUACCGGAUAAUAUAUUGAACCGCAUGGUUCAAUAGUGAAAGACGGUUUUGCUGUCACUUAUAGAUGGAUCCGCGCCGCACUAGCUAGUUGGUAAGGUAACGGCUUACCAAGGCGACGAUGCGUAGCCGACCUGAGAGGGUGAUCGGCCACACUGGAACUGAGACACGGUCCAGACUCCUACGGGAGGCAGCAGUAGGGAAUCUUCCGCAAUGGGCGAAAGCCUGACGGAGCAACGCCGCGUGAGUGAUGAAGGUCUUCGGAUCGUAAAACUCUGUUAUUAGGGAAGAACAAAUGUGUAAGUAACUAUGCACGUCUUGACGGUACCUAAUCAGAAAGCCACGGCUAACUACGUG
rnacentral:rRNA from 1 species